ACUGAACGCUGGCGGCAGGCUUAACACAUGCAAGUCGAGCGGAGAGAAGUAGCUUGCUACUGAUCUUAGCGGCGGACGGGUGAGUAAUGCUUAGGAAUCUGCCUAUUAGUUGGGGACAACAUUCCGAAAGGGAUGCUAAUAUCGCAUACGCCCUACGGGGGAAAGCAGGGGAUCUUCGGACCUUGCGCUAAUAGAUGAGCCUAAGUCGGAUUAGCUAGUUGGUGGGGUAAAGGCCUACCAAGGCGACGAUCUGUAGCGGGUCUGAGAGGAUGAUCCGCCACACUGGGACUGAGACACGGCCCAGACUCCUACGGGAGGCAGCAGUGGGGAAUAUUGGACAAUGGGCGGAAGCCUGAUCCAGCCAUGCCGCGUGUGUGAAGAAGGCCUUUUGGUUGUAAAGCACUUUAAGCGAGGAGGAGGCUCUUAAGGUUAAUACCCUUGAUGAGUGGACGUUACUCGCAGAAUAAGCACCGGCUAACUCUGUGCCAGCAGCCGCGGUAACAC
rnacentral:rRNA from 1 species